UACAGAGGUCUCAAGCGUUGUUCGGAUUCAUUGGGCGUAAAGGGUGCGUAGGCGGCGCGGUAAGUCGGGUGUGAAAUCUCGGGGCUUAACUCCGAAACUGCAUUCGAUACUGCCGUGCUUGAGGACUGGAGAGGAGACUGGAAUUUACGGUGUAGCGGUGAAAUGCGUAGAUAUCGUAAGGAAGACCAGUGGCGAAGGCGGGUCUCUGGACAGUUCCUGACGCUGAGGCACGAAGGCCAGGGGAGCAAACGGGGAUU
rnacentral:rRNA from 1 species